rnacentral:rRNA from 1 species
UACGGGGGGGGCAAGCGUUGUUCGGAAUUACUGGGCGUAAAGGGCUCGUAGGUGGCCAACUAAGUCAGACGUGAAAUCCCUCGGCUUAACCGGGGAACUGCGUCUGAUACUGGAUGGCUUGAGUUUGGGAGAGGGAUGCGGAAUUCCAGGUGUAGCGGUGAAAUGCGUAGAUAUCUGGAGGAACACCGGUGGCGAAGGCGGCCCACUGGUCCGGUACUGACGCUGAGGUGCGAAAGCGUGGGGAGCAAACAGGA